CCUACGGGACGCAGCAGUGGGGAAUAUUGCACAAUGGGGGGAACCCUGAUGCAGCGACGCCGCGUGGGUGAAGGAGUACUUCGGUACGUAAAGCCCUAUCAGCAGGAAAGAAAAUGACGGUACCUGACUAAGAAGCCCCGGCUAACUACGUGCCAGCAGCCGCGGUAAUACGUAGGGGGCGAGCGUUAUCCGGAUUCACUGGGUGUAAAGGGAGCGUAGACGGCCAAGCAAGCCAGGGGUGAAAGCCCGGGGCCCAACCCCGGGACUGCCCUUGGAACUGCAUGGCUGGAGUGCGGGAGGGGCAG
rnacentral:rRNA from 1 species